rnacentral:rRNA from 1 species
GACGAACGCUGGCGGCGUGCCUAAUACAUGCAAGUAGAACGCUGAAGGAGGAGCUUGCUUCUCUGGAUGAGUUGCGAACGGGUGAGUAACGCGUAGGUAACCUGCCUGGUAGCGGGGGAUAACUAUUGGAAACGAUAGCUAAUACCGCAUAAUAGUAGAUGUUGCAUGACAUUUGCUUAAAAGGUGCAAUUGCAUCACUACCAGAUGGACCUGCGUUGUAUUAGCUAGUUGGUGGGGUAACGGCUCACCAAGGCGACGAUACAUAGCCGACCUGAGAGGGUGAUCGGCCACACUGGGACUGAGACACGGCCCAGACUCCUACGGGAGGCAGCAGUAGGGAAUCUUCGGCAAUGGACGGAAGUCUGACCGAGCAACGCCGCGGGAGUGAAGAAGGGUGUCGGAUCGUAAAGCUCUGUUGUAAGAGAAGAACGAGUGUGAGAGUGGAAAGUUCACACUGUGACGGUAGCUUACCAGAAAGGGACGGCUAACUACGUG